rnacentral:rRNA from 1 species
CCAUACGACCGUACCGCAAACCGACACUGGUGCGCGAGAUGAGUAUUCUAAGGCGCUUGAGAGAACUCAGGAGAAGGAACUCGGCAAAUUGACACCGUAACUUCGGAAGAAGGUGUGCCCUAUUAGUGUGUAGCAAACAACGAAGCAUGAAUGGGUUGCAAAAAAUCGGUGGCUGCGACUGUUUAUUAAAAACACAGCACUCUGCAAACACGAAAGUGGACGUAUAGGGUGUGACGCCUGCCCGGUGCUGGAAGAUUAAAUGAUGGGGUGCAAGCUCUUGAUUGAAGUCCCAGUAAACGGCGGCCGUAACAAUAACGGUCCUAAGGUAGCGAAAUUCCUUGUCGGGUAAGUUCCGACCUGCACGAAUGGCGUAACGAUGGCCACACUGUCUCCUCCUGAGACUCAGCGAAGUUGAAAUGUUUGUGAUGAUGCAAUCUCCCCGCGGAAAGACGGAAAGACCCCAUGAACCUUUACUGUAGCUUUGUAUUGGACUUUGAACAGAUCUGUGUAGGAUAGGUGGGAGGCUUUGAAGCAGGGUCGCUAGAUCUUGUGGAGCCAACGUUGAAAUACCACCCUGGUGUGUUUGAGGUUCUAACCUAGGUCCAUUAUCUGGAUCGGGGACAGUGCAUGGUAGGCAGUUUGACUGGGGCGGUCUCCUCCCAAAGCGUAACGGAGGAGUUCGAAGGUACGCUAGUUACGGUCGGACAUCGUGACGAUAGUGCAAUGGCAUAAGCGUGCUUAACUGCGAGACUGACAAGUCGAGCAGAUGCGAAAGCAGGACAUAGUGAUCCGGUGGUUCUGUAUGGAAGGGCCAUCGCUCAACGGAUAAAAGGUACUCUGGGGAUAACAGGCUGAUACCGCCCAAGAGUUCAUAUCGACGGCGGUGUUUGGCACCUCGAUGUCGGCUCAUCUCAUCCUGGGGCUGUAGCCGGUCCCAAGGGUAUGGCUGUUCGCCAUUUAAAGAGGUACGUGAGCUGGGUUUAAAACGUCGUGAGACAGUUUGGUCCCUAUCUUCCGUGGGCGCUGCAGAUUUGAGGAAGCCUGCUCCUAGUACGAGAGGACCGGAGUGGACACACCUCUGGUGUAUCGGUUGUCACGCCAGUGGCAUUGCCGAGUAGCUAAGUGUGGAAGAGAUAACCGCUGAAAGCAUCUAAGCGGGAAACUCGUUUCAAGAUGAGAUCUGCCGGGGCCUUGAGCCCCCUAAAGAGUCGUUCAAGACCAGGACGUUGAUAGGUCAGGUGUGGAAGC